UACGUAGGGGGCUAGCGUUGUCCGGAUUUAUUGGGCGUAAAGAGCGUGUAGGCGGCCAGAUAGGUCUGCUGUGAAAACUCGAGGCUCAACCUCGAGAUGUCGGCGGAAACCAUUUGGCUAGAGUCCGGGAAGAGGAAAGUGGAAUUCCUGGUGUAGCGGUGAAAUGCGCAGAUAUCGGGAAGAACACCCCGUGGCGAAGG
rnacentral:rRNA from 1 species